rnacentral:rRNA from 1 species
GGGACACGUGGUAUCCUGUCUGAAUAUGGGGGGACCAUCCUCCAAGGCUAAAUACUCCUGACUGACCGAUAGUGAACCAGUACCGUGAGGGAAAGGCGAAAAGAACCCCGGCGAGGGGAGUGAAAAAGAACCUGAAACCGUGUACGUACAAGCAGUGGGAGCCUCUUAAUGGGGUGACUGCGUACCUUUUGUAUAAUGGGUCAGCGACUUAUAUUCUGUAGCAAGGUUAACCGAAUAGGGGAGCCGAAGGGAAACCGAGUCUUAACUGGGCGUUAAGUUGCAGGGUAUAGACCCGAAACCCGGUGAUCUAGCCAUGGGCAGGUUGAAGGUUGGGUAACACUAACUGGAGGACCGAACCGACUAAUGUUGAAAAAUUAGCGGAUGACUUGUGGCUGGGGGUGAAAGGCCAAUCAAACCGGGAGAUAGCUGGUUCUCCCCGAAAGCUAUUUAGGUAGCGCCUCGUGAAUUCAUCUCCGGGGGUAGAGCACUGUUUCGGCAAGGGGGUCAUCCCGACUUACCAACCCGAUGCAAACUGCGAAUACCGGAGAAUGUUAUCACGGGAGACACACGGCGGGUGCUAACGUCCGUCGUGAAGAGGGAAACAACCCAGACCGCCAGCUAAGGUCCCAAAGUCAUGGUUAAGUGGGAAACGAUGUGGGAAGGCCCAGACAGCCAGGAUGUUGGCUUAGAAGCAGCCAUCAUUUAAAGAAAGCGUAAUAGCUCACUGGUCGAGUCGGCCUGCGCGGAAGAUGUAACGGGGCUAAACCAUGCACCGAAGCUGCGGCAGCGACACUAUGUGUUGUUGGGUAGGGGAGCGUUCUGUAAGCCUGUGAAGGUGGCCUGUGAGGGUUGCUGGAGGUAUCAGAAGUGCGAAUGCUGACAUAAGUAACGAUAAAGCGGGUGAAAAGCCCGCUCGCCGGAAGACCAAGGGUUCCUGUCCAACGUUAAUCGGGGCAGGGUGAGUCGACCCCUAAGGCGAGGCCGAAAGGCGUAGUCGAUGGGAAACAGGUUAAUAUUCCUGUACUUGGUGUUACUGCGAAGGGGGGACGGAGAAGGCUAUGUUGGCCGGGCGACGGUUGUCCCGGUUUA